rnacentral:rRNA from 1 species
GCUAAACGCGAAGAACCUUACCUGGCCUUGACAUGUCUGGAAUCCCGAAGAGAUUUGGGAGUGCCGCAAGGAACCAGAACACAGGUGCUGCAUGGCUGUCGUCAGCUCGUGUCGUGAGAUGUUGGGUUAAGUCCCGCAACGAGCGCAACCCUUGUCCUUAGUUGCCAUCAUUUAGUUGGGAACUCUAAGGAGACCGCCGGUGACAAACCGGAGGAAGGUGGGGAUGACGUCAAGUCAUCAUGGCCUUUAUGACCAGGGCUACACACGUGCUACAAUGGCCGGUACAAAGGGCUGCCAACCCGCGAGGGGGAGCUAAUCCCAGAAAGCCGGUCGUAGUCCGGAUCGGAGUCUGCAACUCGACUCCGUGAAGUCGGAAUCGCUAGUAAUCGCGAAUCAGCAACGUCGCGGUGAAUACGUUCCCGGGUCUUGUACACACCG